AAUUAAGUUGCAGCGAUGAAGUUAGUAUACGUAUUCUUAUUAGUUGCUGUUGUUGCAGUUACCAUGAGCCCUGGCAUCAUGGCUGAAUCAUCUGCUGAUGAAUUUGGAAAAGCUAAGAAAAUCGGCAUCUUUGAUCAAAUAGAUAAGGGAUGGGCUUGGUUGAUGAAGCAGAUGGAAGGCUAAAUACACUAUAAUCGAAUAAUAUCUAUGGCAUAAAAAAUGCAGCAGAAAAUCGGCAUUUUUUUCAUGAAAUAUCCAAGGCAUUUAAUUAGGCGCUAAAAUAAAUUUCACAAGUUUUUCAACUAGUAAA